UACGGAGGGUGCAAGCGUUGCUCGGAAUUAUUGGGCGUAAAGGGUAGGUAGGUGGUCUUAUUUGUCUGGGGUGAAAGCCUUGAGCUUAACUCAAGAAGUGCCCCAGAAACGGUAAGACUAGAGUCCUGGAGAGGGUCGUGGAAUUCCCGGUGUAGCGGUGAAAUGCGUAGAGAUCGGGAGGAACACCAGAGGCGAAGGCGGCGACCUGGACAGGUACUGACACUCAACUACGAAAGCGUGGGGAGCAAACAGG
rnacentral:rRNA from 1 species